rnacentral:lncRNA from 1 species
AUGCACAUUCAACCACUGUGUCCAGUGAUGUUGUCUGAAAACUCUUUAUCUCUUGUGGUUUCUCUGUCAGUGAGCAAGGCUGAGUGCUCUGAGGAAGAGUUCGGUCAGUUCCCGUACCGUCUGCUGGACUGGUUCCUACUCCUCAGCAGAAUGGGAGAGAGAUACACACCAGCCGCUCCCUCACAAAGCUGCCUCACACACACACAGCGAACCCAGCUUGCAGAGAGGAGGUUUGUUCUGCUGGAUCGUAAAAGGGACGGGAAGUUAAACAGGAGAGAUCUGAGAAAGCUCCACUACAAGCGGAUGCCACUGGAGCACUGCGCUCAAAGAUUCUUCCAGUCAUGUGACAAGAACAAGAAUAAGAAGGUGACCCUGAGGGAGUGGACAUCCUGUCUGGUUGACCGGUCAGAACGCUGGUUUCAGGAUUUCAUGUCCGUGAAGAUGGGCUCACCAAAGCUGUGUCCUGUCCCAGACAACAACCUGUAAAUUUUGGAUGCUUUAUCCAGGUGGAAUCAUAUUUUAAACCUUAUAAUAUACCUAGAAAUUAUAAUAUUUUAUAACUGGAGAAAGCUAGCCAUUUGCAUUCUUGUUGGAUUAGAAAUACAGCAAAUAGGGGUAAUGUGAAAUAUUCUUAGAAUCUAUUUGAAAAUAUGUUAUAAAGUGUAAUUUAUUCCUGUGAUGUCAAAGCUGAUUUUUCAGCAGCCAUUACAUGAUCCUUUGGAAAUUAUUCUAAUAUGCUGAUUUACUACAUAAGAAACAUUUCUUAUUGUUAUCAUAAGAAUAAAAACUGUUGCUAUGAUUAAUAUUUUAAGGAUUACAAUAGAAAGUACAUUAUACAUUUCUUUACUGUCACUUUUGAUCAAUUUAAUACAUACAUGCUGAAUAAAAGUUUUUCUUUACCAAACAGGUUUUUCUUUUCUUCUUUUCAACUUUUUCAAAAAAGUUUUUCUUUUACACUGUAGCAUUUGAAACACAAUAGCUGUUGCCCGAAAAGUGAAGGGGAUGAAAUAUCUGAAAGUUUGGGUUAGAAUAAUUGAAUACCUCUGUUAUAUUUAAAUUAAAAAAAAUGGUGCAUAAUAAAAGUCUAAACAUUGCUUUGUGCAUGUGUGUGUAUGCUGCACUCCAGUCAACAAAGAACGCUUUUUAAGGGACAGCAGCAUGUAUCAUGGAUCACACAAGCAAUUACUGCAGAGAGAGAAAGAGAGAGAGAUUGGGCUAUAACCUUAAACAGAGGAAUGGAGAGCAGAUUAAUUGAGGGGUGGUGUUUAAUAGGAGAGAGAUGGAGAGAGAGAUGGAUAGCCCAUGAGAGAGAUAAAAGACUACGUGAGCAGGGAUGAGAGGAAUAGAUAAUAUGGCAGAGAGAGAAACGGGGAAAGGCAAGGACACCGAAAGAGAGAGAGAAUCUCAUAAUGCACUCACAGAAUGGGACGGGGAGGGGGACAAGUUACAGUAAACCAUUGCAAAUGGAGGAGAGAAAAUAGAUUGAAGCAUGAAAAAUGGAUCAGAAAGAGAGAGACGGUGGGGGGAGGGGUGUGAGAGAGAGAGAAAAAGAGUUGCAGAAGGGUGUGAUAAAGGGUGAGAUUGUUAGAUGGAAAGAGAAAAAGAAGAGAGUAACUAAAUGGCAUCCCACCACAAAGUAACUUCCCCUUCCAGUACAUCAUUGAUGUCUUCCACUUUUCCAAACACUAAACGCUUCCAAUCAUGUCUGCCAAGUGUGAAAAAUUGAUUCGCAACAUUUGAAAACAAGUAGAUCGAGUUUUCCAUGUCUAUAUGACCCCAGGAAGUACGGCAGAAUAAUCCGGUCUCAUUACAUUUGUAGCUUUUUAAAGUGGGUUUGGUUUCCUGUAGCUUUAGUGCAGUCAAGAAUCAUCUGGCAGUAUCUUCUGCAUUGUUUGGCUUUAUGGUGCGGUUUGAUAUCUGUCAUUGUGUUGUGUGAUCAUUCUGUGUUGUGACAUUUUGAGGUUAUGUUUUGAGUUUAAUGUGUGCAGUCAUUUUUUUAUUAUGUCUCGUGUUGUUAUUACGCAGUGUAGUUUGGUCCUGUGUUGCUUUAAUAAAUGUUUUCACUCAGACUUUACUAUUUGUCUAAAAGAAUUUUGCAUUUCACAGGCACCAUUUGCAUUUGUGACUAUAUAUAUAUAUAUAUAUAUAUAUAUAUAUAUAUAUAUAUAUAUAUAUAUAUAUAUAUAUAUAUAUAUGUGUGUGUGUAUUUAUUCAAAUAUAUACUGUAUUUAUUUUUAAAUGUAUAAAAACUGUGAUAGAUGAACAGUAUACAUUAUGUUAUCUCUUACCUGAAUAUGUUACUGAAUACCAUGAAAAAUGAC